CACGGUGGAUUUCAUCAGAAAGCCUUCAAAUAUAAGUCAGCCGUUUAAUUCAAACAACUUAGACGGUGUCAGCCUCAAUUUCAGAAAGGGGUGUCAGCGACCAGCGACCACGUUGGUGUUGGUUCAUCUGCCUGAGCCACAGUAAUGUGACCCGGAAUCGUAUUUCAUUUAAAGGACACGGCGGUGGAAGUGAUGGAGAGUCUGCUCAGGGAUCAUAAACUCUAACCCUGGAACGCCUUUCCCCUUCUUCGCUCUUUUUAGCAUCGUUGGAUGUGAACCAAUGCCGGGAUUUAGAUGCCUGAUGUUGCACCAGUCCUCCCAGUGACAGCUCUAGCCUCGUGUGAAGAAACUAUGUUGUAACCUGCUGACAGCCUCUGGAACGUUUGUGUGGCCGUCCGUGUGAUGUCGCGUGUUGUUUCGAUGCAGUUGUGGAACUUCCCGUCACAAUGACUGUGUUUCCUGUUUCCCGGUCAUUCCGUGACUGGACUUCAGGAGGCUGCGUCCGCCCUGCUCAGCUGACCUCUGGUUCUCCCAUCAGGCCUCCGCUGGUGAGCGGUGCAGGCGUGUGCGAGCUGCGCGCUGCGUUGUGGUUCCAGGGGGUUUGAUGUGGUUUGAUGUGGUCAGCGGGCUGUGGAAGCUCGGGGAAGCAGCUCACUGCUCUGACUUGACCAUUCGUUGUUGUUUUUGAGUAGGGUGACCUGUCAUUUACAUCUUCAGGAUGUUUGCAGCUGAGGGGGCCGAACAAGGGCGACUUUCUUACGAUACAUUAAGGGACUGCACUUGCGCUCAGGAAGGAAGGUGUGCUAUUUAAAAUCCCUGGACCAUUGCAAAUACUGAUGCAACGAUAAUGCAAAUCUUUCAGGUGACACAAUGAACAUAUUGUGUAUGACAUGCACUUGAUUCCCUUUUUAAAUCGAGGAAUAGGAGCAAGCCUGAAGGGGUUCAUGAGAAAAAAGGGCCGUACUUUGGAAACAAUGUAUUUGGUCCGUAGUAAAUGAGACGAUUAGAAACAGGAAGGUCUUGCAGGAUUGAGCCGAUCCUCUCAGGAUCAACGUUUGAUUCAUCUUAAAUGGGUGGGUCGGCAAUAUGAUUGAUGGCAGUUCAUAAUUUCAGCAUGAAUAUGUGCCGUGCCGCUACGUUUUGCCUUUGGAAUAGUAAUGUCGGAUUCAGUCGAACCAGAGUAAAAACGCCCAAGUUUCCUCUCAUUUUGGGAAUAAUAUUCAAUCUUACCACAUCAUACAGAACCAUAGAAUGUUCACAUUUGGAGGUUUGCAAAUGAGAAGCUUUAAAAAAAGCAUUAUGAGAAGUCAUCAGCUGCCAAGCUGGUGGAGACAGACGUUGAAAUGUGACCCCGGUGCAGAAAGUAUUUUUGAAAUCCCAGUUGCAUAGCAACGCAUCUCCAUCUGCAGUUAAGCUUCCCUCUGCCGAGGAAACAACUGUCAUUUUUGCUUUGCACGCAGUUUCAUACGGUAAAGUUUCCAAAGACAAACACAAACACCACUCUGUUUGAAGAGUGGGGGGCUAUUUUUCUAUUUUACAGCCUUCUAAUGAAUUGUGCCUUUUUCACACAGCAGCUACAGCGUGAAAGCUGAUAUUAUGAAUAAUUAACAACCACAGAUUCUGUAAGUCCAAAUGUCUUCCCUCAAUAUCAACUUACUUUAAACAAAAGCAUUGUAACUUGCAAAUGUAAAGUGUGUAAAAUGACAUGGUUGGCUCCACAUUCCUCAUAGUGUUGAACUAAUUCUCAAGCCAAUAGUAAAUACACAAAUGCAUCAUGUAGCGCUGCACAUUUGAGGGAUGUGCAUACAUACAACGUGUGUCCACAGGACAGGUGUCGAUAGGUGCAAAUAAGGACACAUAUACGUACUUACAACAACAACAACUGAGUUACAGAGGUAACUCGUAGCUCGGGUAAAAUGAGUGAAGUGGGUCGUGUUGAAUCAUUCCGACGUGUUCAAUGUGCACAAAAAAAUGUGCACAAAAAAUGCACACGCACUCGCAGUCAAACCUCUGUUUGUACAUGCUGGAGGUUCCUAAUUCCACAUUCUGAGGAUCCACUUUGGCUUCCGCCCGUGUGUCACACCUGAGAGCGCAGAGCGUUUAUCUUGACGCACCUCGACAUCCCCCCUCUGCCCCACAUGGUGCUCAUCAGUUUGCUGGCCACGCCUGGGUGAUCGUCUAGUUUGCAGAAUACUGUACUUUCUGCAUUUUAGCUGACAAACUGCUCGCUCCACUGAGCCUGUUGUUGAGUUUAGUCUCGCCGAGCAGAAAGAGCCCAACGCACAUGCAGAAAAACAGCAAUGAACGGGGAGUUUUCUUGGUGAAGGUUGGCGUGGGGGCGUAUCGGCAGCUGGAGGCCUCGCGGGUCAAACAGGUGCACAGAGGAAAGCUGGGAAACCCGCAACCCACAAUGCAAAGGGAGAGACAAAGACGUGCAACAGACGGACGGGGACCAGGAAAUCAUGUAAAAAUGUAAAAAUAGGUGCAAGCAGGUAAACUCCAUAACAGGCAACAUGAUCAUCAGUCCGUUCUUAUCUGCUGACACAACUUUAAUGCACAAGUAGUGCAUGCAGUGUUUCUCCAGUUAUUUAAGUAUUGCGUUUGUUUGUGCUUUAGUAAUUCUCAGCCGUGUCAUGAAAGGUUCGCAUUGAGCACAGUGUUAAUCCUCAGAACACAUACUGGAGAAUCUGUCCGACUGCCGACGCGAACAUGGAAUGCGUUGCAUCUAUUGUGGAGCUGUUGCUUGUCUUUUAGGUCCUUGUGGCCAUUUUCAUCUGAACAUCUUCAACAUGUCUCAUUCUGUGGCGGAACACUGCAGAUAUGAAGGGACAUUUUUUCGCUUUAAUCUGGGAUACUGUAGGUCCAGACUGCAACGGGGCACAGUCCUUUUUAUUCAUUUACUUUUGCAACUUGGAUCGCGUUAAAUCAUAAUUCCUUGGGUGGGGCCCAGCUUCCAGCGUGCCACUUCCCUUGGAGCUAAUGUAAGAGAGCAGGCUUCAGAUGUUAAUACACGUUACUGCUGAGCAGCCUUUUUUUAAGGGGGGCAUGGCUGUACACUUGGCUGGAGAACAUGCAAUAUAUCCCUUUUUUUAAUCUUGGCCCCAUAAGGGCUUCUGGGUGGUGAAACUGCAGAGCAAACAAGUUGUUGCAAUAAAAACAUUUGAUUGUAGGCAAUCCGUGCAGAAAAUCUUUUGACAAUAAUGAAAAUUCCAAUUCAUGUUUUUCUUUUUCUUCUUUUCUUCAGCCAGAUGGGACACCCUGGUGGAGCAAUUGGAGGUUGUAUGACCGGACCAAGUGGUUCAUGUCUGGCCGUUGAAAAGCACCUGGGGUCGGGGUGUAAUGGUUGCAGGAAGGGAGACACAUCAGGGACAAUUUUAAGGAACUUGAAUGCAACAUGUAAUGUGAAGUAAAAUAUCUGUCUUACUGCC